rnacentral:rRNA from 1 species
AUUGAACGCUGGCGGCAGGCCUAACACAUGCAAGUCGAACGAGUGGCGGACGGGUGAGUAAUGUCUGGGAAACUGCCUGAUGGAGGGGGAUAACUACUGGAAACGGUAGCUAAUACCGCAUACCAUCAGAUGUGCCCAGAUGGGAUUAGCUAGUUGGGGGGGUAACGGCUCACCAGGGCGACGAUCCCUAGCUGGUCUGGGAGGAUGACCAGCAAACCUGGAACUGAGAAACGGUCCAGACUCCUACGGGAGGCAGAAGGGGGGAAUAGUGCACAAUGGGCGAAAGCCUGAUGAAGCCAUGCCGCGUGUAUGAAGAAGGCCUUCGGGUUGUAAAGUACUUUCAGCGGGGAGGCGUUACCCGCAGAAGAAGCACCGGCUAACUCCGUGCCAGCAGCCGCGGUAAUUC